rnacentral:rRNA from 1 species
UACGGAGGAGCUAGCGUUAUUCGGAAUUACUGGGCGUAAAACGCACGUAGGCGGCUUUGUAAGUAAGAGGUGAAAGCCCAGAGCUCAACUCUGGAAUUGCCUUUUAGACUGCAUCGCUUGAAUCAUGGAGAGGUCAGUGGAAUUCCGAGUGUAGAGGUGAAAUUCGUAGAUAUUCGGAAGAACGCCAGUGGCGAAGGCGGCUGACUGGACAUGUAUUGACGCUGAGGUGGCGUAAAGCGUGGGGAGCAAACAGG